AAGUCGUAACAAGGUUUCCGUAGGUGAACCUGCGGAAGGAUCAUUAAUGAAAUUACAAUCCGGCGAGGGAAAGGCGGAGAGUUGUAGCUGGCCCCUCCGGGCAUGUGCACGCUCUCUUCCGGACUUUCGCCGUAUGGGCGCGGGGCGACCCGCGUCUUCAUAUACCUCUUCGUGUAGAAAGUCUUUGAAUGUCGAAACCAUCAUCGAGUCGCGACUUCUAGGAGACGCGAUUCUUUGAGACAAAAGUUAUUACAACUUUCAGCAACGGAUCUCUUGGCUCUC
rnacentral:misc_RNA from 2 species